AGUGUAAUUGUAGGAUUGUAUGGUAAAGAUGUGUUCAGUUUUGUAAAAGUUGCCAAACUUUCUUCCAAAGUAGUUAUACCAAUUCUGCAUUCCCAACACCAAU
rnacentral:pre_miRNA from 1 species